GUCAUAACCACUCUUUCUCUCAAAAUCAACUGAAGAAGACUGAAAGUAUGGUGCGGCGGUACAGUUCAUCACGAGACGACAUCAGGAAAAGCAUCAAACAUGCUUUAAUGUUGCUUUGAAGUUGCCCGUUCCACCAAUCGCCUAUUAUUCUUCGGUUGUAAGGGUAGUUCACCCUAUUCAUGAACAACCUUCAUGUGCUACCGUACGGGUGGUAUUGCUUUUGUCCUGAGUACAUCAUCCUUCAUGAGCUCCACUGGUCAUAUAGGCCAGGACAAGAAAGGAAGUCUGGCAGUAUAACUCACUGCUUGAAAAAAUUUGUCUGGAACCGAGACUGGUACCGGAACCGUAUCUGGUACAGUACCGGUCCCGAAUAGUAUCGGUCCAAUAAAUAGGAACCGAGGUACAGGGUACAGGUACCGGUCCAAUAAAUAGGAACCGGGUCUAGGAAGGUACAGGUACUCGGUCUCGGCAAGAACCGAGCCGAACCGUACCGUGUGCACCCUUAAGCAGCAGUGACACUGACUAUUCUUCUUUGACCCUCCCUGUAAAACUACCGAGCUUUACGCACCUAACUAAAGAAGAAAACGACGAAACUGGAGAUGACAUUGGAAAUAUUCUGCAAGAACGCUGUGAACAAAUGGAUGCCCUUCCGGUUUCCAAGGCAUCGUUUCUAACUCGAACGGGCACUGUCGACAUUCAGUCACGCACUUGAUGACCUGCUGCCAAUCCAGAAUCUACGGCCGCAUACGGAGCACCAAAAGGAAGAAUCCAAAGAGGUCUAAUAUCAUAUAGAACCCGGAGCAUGUAUAAGAUCAAUUAACUUCAUAGUU